rnacentral:rRNA from 1 species
AUACGUAGGUGGCAAGCGUUGUCCGGAUUUACUGGGUGUAAAGGGCGUGUAGGCGGAGAUGCAAGUCAGGAGUGAAAUCUAGGGGCUCAACCCCUAAACUGCUUUUGAAACUGUAUCCCUUGAGUAUCGGAGAGGCGGCGGAAUUCCUAGUGUAGCGGUGAAAUGCGUAGAUAUUAGGAGGAACACCAGUGGCGAAGGCGGCCUGCUGGACGACAACUGACGCUGAGGCGCGAAAGCGUGGGGAGCAAACAGGAUUAAAUACCCUGGUAGUCCACGCUGUAAACGAUGAAUACUAGGUGUGGGGGGACUGACCCCCUCCGUGCCGCAGUUAACACAAUAAGUAUUCCACCUGGGGAGUACGAUCGCAAGAUUGAAACUCAAAUGAAUUGACGGG